CUUCGGGUGAAGGAACUAGGCAAAAUAGCACCGUAACUUCGGGAGAAGGUGCGCCUCUUCUGGUUAAUAGCUGGGGGAGGCCGAAGUGAUCAGGCCGCUGCGACUGUUUAUCAAAAACACAGCACUCUGCAAACACGAAAGUGGACGUAUAGGGUGUGACGCCUGCCCGGUGCUGGAAGGUUAAUUGAUGGGGUCAGCCGCAAGGCGAAGCUCUUGAUCGAAGCCCCAGUAAACGGCGGCCGUAACGAUAACGGUCCUAAGGUAGCGAAAUUCCUUGUCGGGUAAGUUCCGACCUGCACGAAUGGCGUAACGACAGCGGCGCUGUCUCCACCCGAGACUCAGUGAAAUUGAAAUCGCUGUGAAGAUGCAGCGUACCCGUGGCAAGACGGAAAGACCCCGUGAACCUUUACUAUAGCUUUACAUUGAACGUUGAGUUCGUCUGUGUAGGAUAGGUGGGAGGCUUUGAAGCGAUGGCGCUAGCUGUCGUGGAGCCAACCUUGAAAUACCACCCUGUCGUGCUUGACGUUCUAACCUAGCUCCGUAAUCCGGAGCGGGGACCAUGUAUGGUGGGUAGUUUGACUGGGGCGGUCUCCUCCCAAAGAGUAACGGAGGAGCACGAAGGUACGCUCAGCGCGGUCGGACAUCGCGCACUGUGUGCAAAGGCAUAAGCGUGCUUGACUGCGAGAUCGACGGAUCAAGCAGGUACGAAAGUAGGUCUUAGUGAUCCGGUGGUUCUGUAUGGAAGGGCCAUCGCUCAACGGAUAAAAGGUACUCCGGGGAUAACAGGCUGAUACCGCCCAAGAGUUCAUAUCGACGGCGGUGUUUGGCACCUCGAUGUCGGCUCAUCACAUCCUGGGGCUGUAGUCGGUCCCAAGGGUAUGGCUGUUCGCCAUUUAAAGUGGUACGCGAGCUGGGUUCAGAACGUCGUGAGACAGUUCGGUCCCUAUCUGCCAUGGGCGUUGGAGAUUUGAGAGGGGCUGCUCCUAGUACGAGAGGACCGGAGUGGACGAACCUCUGGUGUUCCGGUUGUCACGCCAGUGGCACUGCCGGGUAGCUACGUUCGGAAGCGAUAACCGCUGAAAGCAUCUAAGCGGGAAGCGCGCCUCAAGAUGAGAUCUCCCGGGACACAAGUCCCCUAAAGGAACGAUGAAGACUACGUCGUUGAUAGGUCAGGUGUGUAAGUGCAGUAAUGCAUUGAGCUAACUGAUACUAAUGAUCCGUGCGGCUUGACC
rnacentral:rRNA from 1 species